GGUCGAUUAGCUCAGUUGGUUAGAGCGUGGUGCUAAUAACGCCAAGGCCGAGGGUUCGACCCCCUCAUUGACCA